rfam:Camelus ferus unplaced genomic scaffold scaffold2139, whole genome shotgun sequence.
GAAGAUAUCGCUCAAGUGGUAGAGAGCCUACCUAGCGUGCACGAGUUCCUGGGUUCAAUCCCCAGUAUCUCCU